GUUUUAGAUGUUGUUACAUUAAGGUGUAAACAUCAACCCUUGAGUCAUUUUAUUAAAGAACUACGUGUCAAAUUUGUUGUGACGGAACAUAAGUUUAAGUAGCAUGGUGUGAUGAAGUUGGUAAUUUGUAGGAAUGUAAAUAUUUUAUUUAAAAACUUGUUAUAAAACUUCGUGCAUUAGUUAUGAGCAGGAUUACAGUAGGAACGUUUCUCACAGUGAUAUUUUAUAUUUGUUCUAAUGUAAAACUGACAGAGGGUGGGGAAUGUUGUCGAUCUUAUGUAGAUAAUACAGGUAUAUACCAUUACCAACAAUGGUGUCCCGUGUUUUGUUGUGGAUACGCCACACUUGGAAAGUUAGAAUGUUGUUCUAACCCAAGACUGCGAGCAUUUGAAGGGAAUAGAGAUGGAUUUUGUGCUUCAUGGUUUACUUAUUCAGCAAAUGUAUGGGCACCAAUCAUAAUUGGUUUUAUCAUCUUGAUGAUUAUCAUAGCGUGUUGUGUAUGCUGUAUUCGCUGCUGCUUCUUUAUCUAGAGAAAUCAAGUUCAUCUACUAACGUCAUACCCAGGGAUGUUUUCUGUUAUUCUGUGGUAUUUUACAUUCAUUUGAAAAUAUAUUGAUGUAUGAAUCAUAUCAUUUUAGUAUUUUUUAAGUCGUAAAAUUGAAUUAAUUAUAUCUAAUCUGUGUUCA